UGCUUGCUGUGAAAUUCGGCCACGUCGACAACGUCCAUUUGCGGGGAAUCAAGCAACUAUCAUCACUUCUCAUAGCUUGCAUUGGUAUUAUUGAAAACCCCAAGCAUUCAUUCUCUCCCUGCCAAGUAUCUGCAGGAACCUAACCCCCCUUACACGAGCAGGGAUAAAAAGGGAAAAAUUACCAAGAAUGAAAAACUUUCUGUUUGAGGUGGGUGGGAACCUCCGGGUAGCCUUUCUCCCAGCCUCAUCUCUCCCUACUUGUUUCAUCGAGAAGAUCCAAGCACUGAUGGAAUGAACCGCUGAAGGUCAAAGGUGAAGAGAGGAAGAAGGAAAGAAGUCAAGCGGGACGGGAUGACGAGUUAUAUAGCCGAGUUGAAGAUUUCUACCUGCCAUGUCCAAACCUUUAUUGCUUGUUGUUGUUUGUUAUUUUAUUACUUUUUUAUUCCGUAUUUCAAGGUAGGUAGCACACACUGUCCCUUCAUUUCGGUAUUAUCGUCUGCUUGAACCAAGGAUUGUCAAUGCUGUUUGGUGCAUCACGGCACAGUAAGGAAAGUUUAAAUAUAUGAUCUUUUAAGUUCAAGGAGGAAAAAAAAAUGAACUCAUGUCUCACUUUUGAUACAUGAGGAUAGGAGUUUGUUUUCAGUGACAACGUUUGUGUGUGUCGUAAAUUCCAUUUGACAGCAUCGUUGUCUAUCUCCCUUCAACACAAUCCUACAUCAAGUUCUUCUUGUUGUUAGAGUUACAUAUAUGUAUAUGCACAGAACUAGUGGUUAAGCAACCUGCCCCUGUUGCUGACGCCAUGAUUUAUCUUUCAAGGUCGAUCUACGUUCGCUGCACCAGCGUUACGAAGCUUGUCAGUCCUUAAAGAAGCAUAAGGAGACACGGCAGGGAAAAAUAGGAAGAACCGACUCCCCCGCCCUCGGACCAUGGGCAUGUAGGUGGUAAACGCACUGUAGAUGCAAUUAGUUAUAAAUUAUAUAGGUAUCUUCUCUUCGAAAAAGGCACCGCUUUCGCUCUCUGUCAUUCAAAAUCAGAUAGUACAUGUACACGCAAGUAGGGAAUAAAAUAGGUAAUAAAUGCAACCAGCAAGACAUAUGUAAAAAAUGGCAUGAUGAAAGUCAUAACAGGCAAAGGGUAAUAGAGAAGGGGGAAAGGAAAAAGAAAAAAAUGCAUUAAAAUCUACAAACAUGAAAACUAAAAAGAAACAGGAAAAAAAAGGAAUAAGGACUCAACGACUAGGAACUGAAACACCAAAAUUGAGAAUUGAAAUCGAUCAAAGGAUGAAAAAAUGAAAAUAAAAAUCCUGCAUUCUUCUUCGCUGCAAUGCGCAUAUUUGCUGUUUCUCAAAACCACUUUUGUGUUGCUUUGAAAUCUAGAAUACCGUAACUAGAAACGACCACAAAAAAGGAGGAAAGAAGGACGUGGAUAAAUCAGGGGAAAGGCGGUCACAUCGACUGAUUUUCCCUCUACCCAAAUUCGUUUCGGUCACAGCCGUCGUCCAGUCCCCUCUCAACUUGUCAUGUAUAUCGUUAUCUGUAUGUGUUCUUUAAUAAAGUAGUGAUUGUAUACACGUAAAAGUAUAUCUCUAGGGAGUAUUGUGGGUUAUCAUAACUCUGCAGGAGAAAGAUUCAAUAAUAAAACAAAUGUGAAGAGGGGAAGGGGAGAAUAGCUGAAAAUGCAUGGAAAAUGCCAAUAGUGGAAAUAGAUGUAUAGGUGUGAAAAAAAGCAAAAAAAAAGAAAAAAAAGUGAGAGCGAAAGAAAGGGAGAGGGAAGGGAGGUGUAGCAAUGAGAAAAAAAGGAGAUCAUGGAUGGAUCAUUAGUGGAAUCUGGAAUAGGUCCUGGUAAAUGGGCAAAGGAGGAAAAUGCACUUGAACUUUGCUUUAGCGAUUAUUCCCGGCCCUGCGACCGACGCAUCGUGAAACUCCGUCUGAUACUUUCGCCCCAUGCAGAAUUGUCUAGCGACUCCAUGACGCCCUGCACACUGACAGAGCUGUCAUUAUCCGGUCGAUGGGUUGUUAUAUCAUCUGGGCCGGGAGGAGUGGAACUAAAGAACGUGCGGCUUAGGCGCGGAGACGAUGAAGGACUUCUACUUGCCCAGUCGGCAUUGCGUGUUUGUGAGCCUGAGCUUUGGGAGAUAUUUGUGUCAAUAGAAGGUGGGCUGAGCAUUCGUCUGCGACCAGCCUCAUCGCGGGAGGAGCGACUU
rnacentral:sRNA from 2 species